rnacentral:lncRNA from 1 species
CAUGAUUAUGAUGUUUGAGUUUAUUGUUAUAAGUUUCUACAAUAAUUUUCUUUUAUCAUGCUCUUUGAAUAUAUUUCAUGCUAAUUUAGGUUGCUUGUGAGUUUGUUCUCACACUAAGGGAUGCCUUUUAAUCUUGUGAUUAUCAGGUGACAUCAUAAGGAAAAUGCUUACAUUUUGUGGGUAGUACCUUGUAAAUUUAAGACUUUUCCCAUUUGAUUUAAUAAAUUGUCAGGUGAUUUUGACUGU